rnacentral:rRNA from 1 species
GACGAACGCUGGCGGCGUGCUUAACACAUGCAAGUCGAACGGAAAGGCACUGCGUUUGUGGGGUGCUCGAGUGGCGGUCGGGUGAGUAACACGUGAGUAACCUGCCCUUGACUUUGGGAUAACUUCACGAAACUGGGGCUAAUACCGGAUAGGAGCUCCUGCAGCAUGGUGGGGGUUGGAAAUUUUCGGCGGUUGGGGAUGGACUCGCGGCUUAUCAGCUUGUUGGUUGGGUAGUGGCUUACCAAGGCUUUGGCGGGUAGCCGGCCUGGGAGGGUGAACGGGCACAUUGGGACUGAGAUACGGCCCAGACUCCUACGGGAGGCAGCAGUGGGGAGCAUGAUACAGUGGGAGGGAGCCUGAUGCAGAGACGCCGCGUGCGGGAAGACCGCCUUCGGGUUGUAAACCGCAUCCGCCUGUGACGAAGCGUGAGUGACGGUACUGGAUGAAGAAGCACCGGCUAACUACGUG